CACGUAGGGCGCAAGCGUUGUCCGGAAUUAUUGGGCGUAAAGAGCUCGUAGGCGGUCUGUUGCGUCCGCUGUGAAAACUCGGGGCUUAACCCCGAGCCUGCAGUGGAUACGGGCAGGCUGGAGUUCGGUAGGGGAGACUGGAAUUCCUGGUGUAGCGGUGAAAUGCGCAGAUAUCAGGAGGAACACCGGUGGCGAAGGCGGGUCUCUGGGCCGAUACUGACGCUGAGGAGCAAAAGCGUGGGGAGCGAACAGG
rnacentral:rRNA from 1 species